rnacentral:sRNA from 1 species
UUGCUUAGAUGGGUGGAUGAGCUCACAGC